rfam:Triticum aestivum genome assembly, contig: Triticum_aestivum_CS42_TGACv1_scaffold_223296_3B
UUUGUACUCCCUCCGUCCCAAAAUUCUUGUCUUAAAUUUGUCUAAAUACGGAUGUAUCUAGUUACAUUUUAGUGUUAGAUACAUCCGUAUCUAAACAAAUGUAAGACAAGAAUUUUGGGAUGGAGGGAUUACUAC